CAAUACAGGGCUACUUCUAGUCUUGUAAUUGGAAUGAGUACAACUUACAUCUCUUCACGAGGAUCAAUUGGAGGGCAAGUCUGGUGCCAGCAGCCGCGGUAAUUCCAGCUCCAAUAGCGUAUAUUAAAGUUGUUGCAGUUAAAAAGCUCGUAGUCGGAUUUCGGGUCGGGCCGAGCGGUCUGCCGAUGGGUAUGCACUGUUCGGCGCGGCCUUCUUUCCGGAGACCGCGSCUACUCUUAACUGAGCGGGCGYGGGAGACGGAUCGUUUACUUUGAAAAAAUCAGAGUGUUUCAAGCAGGCAGCUCGCUCUUGCAUGGAUUAGCAUGGGAUAAUGAAAUAGGACUCUGGUGCUAUUUUGUUGGUUUCGAACACCGGAGUAAUGAUUAACAGGGACAGUCAGG
rnacentral:rRNA from 1 species